UUUCCGUAGGUGAACCUGCGGAAGGAUCAUUAUUGAAUGAAACACUUCUGGCUUUAUGCUGUUGUGCUGGCCCUUUGGGCAAUGUGCACACGGCUCUGGUCACUUGUUUCUUCUGUUCCACCUGUGCACUGCCUGUAGACACGCUGUGUCUAUGAUAUUUGUUAACACACAACAAUGUUAGUUGGCAUGUUAUAUAUAAUAAUAAAAUAUACAACUUUCAACAACGGAUCUCUUGGCUCUCGCAUCGAUGAAGAACGAAGC
rnacentral:misc_RNA from 1 species